rnacentral:rRNA from 1 species
UAGGGAAUAUUGCGCAAUGGGGGAAACCCUGACGCAGCGACGCCGCGUGAGUGAUGAAGGCCUUAGGGUCGUAAAGCUCUGUUGCACGGGAAGAAAAAAAUGACGGUACCGUGCGAGAAAGGAUCGGCUAACUUCGUGCCAGCAGCCGCGGUAAGACGAGGGAUCCUAGCGUUGUUCGGAAUCAUUGGGCGUAAAGCGUGUGCAGGCUGCUCUUCAAGUCAGUUGUGAAAGCCCCGGGCUCAACCCGGGAAGUGCUUCUGAUACUGUUGAGCUUGAGUACUGGAGAGGAUAGUAGAAUUCCAGGUGUAGUGGUGAAAUACGUAGAUAUCGGGAGGAAUACCGGUGGCGAAGGCGGCUAUCUGGCCAUGUACUGACGCUGAGACACGAAAGCGUGGGGAGCAAACAG